rnacentral:rRNA from 1 species
CUGGCCGUAAACGAUGGAUACUAGGUGUAAGUGGUAUCGACCCCACUUGUGCCGUAGCUAACGCAUUAAGUAUCCCGCCUGGGGAGUACGGCCGCAAGGUUGAAACUCAAAGGAAUUGACGGGGGCCCGCACAAGCGGUGGAGCAUGUGGUUUAAUUCGUUACUAACCGAAGAACCUUACCCAGGCUUGACAUCCCCGGACAGCCCAUGAAAGUGGGUCUUCUCCCUCAAAAGGGGAGACUGGGUGACAGGUGU